rnacentral:rRNA from 1 species
GACGAACGCUGGCGGCGUGCUUAACACAUGCAAGUCGAGCGAUGAAAGCCUUAUGAACUAUUCGUAGUGGUUGGGGCCGGAUUAGCGGCGGACGGGUGAGUAACGCGUGAGCAACCUGCCUUAAACAACGGGAUAGCCUCGGGAAACCGGGAUUAAUACCGUAUGAGACCCCGCCUUCACAUGAAGAAGAGGUAAAAGAUUUAUCGGUUUGAGAUGGGCUGGCGUCUGAUUAGCUAGUUGGUGAGAUAAAAGCCCACCAAGGCAACGAUCAGUAACCGGCUUGAGAGAGUGAACGGUCACAUUGGAACUGAGACACGGUCCAAACUCCUACGGGAGGCAGCAGUGGGGAAUAUUGCACAAUGGGGGAAACCCUGAUGCAGCGACGCCGCGUGAGCGAUGAAGGAAUUCGUUUCGUAAAGCUCUGUCCAAGGGGAAGAUAAUGACAGUACCCUUGGAGGAAGCCCCGGCUAAAUACGUGCCAGCAGCCGCAGUAAGAC